UACGUAGGCAGCGAGCGUUGUUCGGAGUUACUGGGCGUAAAGAGUGCGUAGGCGGUUUUCUAAGUUUGGUGUGAAAUCUCCCGGCUUAACUGGGAGGGUGCGCCGAAAACUGGAAGGCUUGAGUAUGGGAGAGGUAAGCGGAAUUCCUGGUGUAGCGGUGAAAUGCGUAGAUAUCAGGAGGAACACCUGCGGUGUAGACGGCUUACUGGACCAUAAACUGACGCUGAGACACGAAAGCGUGGGUAGCAAACAGG
rnacentral:rRNA from 1 species